rnacentral:rRNA from 1 species
UCCUCCCAAAGCGUAACGGAGGAGCACGAAGGUUAGCUAAUCCUGGUCGGACAUCAGGAGGUUAGUGCAAUGGCAUAAGCUAGCUUGACUGCGAGCGUGACGGCGCGAGCAGGUGCGAAAGCAGGUCAUAGUGAUCCGGUGGUUCUGAAUGGAAGGGCCAUCGCUCAACGGAUAAAAGGUACUCCGGGGAUAACAGGCUGAUACCGCCCAAGAGUUCAUAUCGACGGCGGUGUUUGGCACCUCGAUGUCGGCUCAUCACAUCCUGGGGCUGAAGUAGGUCCCAAGGGUAUGGCUGUUCGCCAUUUAAAGUGGUACGCGAGCUGGGUUUAGAACGUCGUGAGACAGUUCGGUCCCUAUCUGCCGUGGGCGCUGGAGAAUUGAGGGGGGCUGCUCCUAGUACGAGAGGACCGGAGUGGACGCAUCACUGGUGUUCGGGUUGUCAUGCCAAUGGCACUGCCCGGUAGCUAAAUGCGGAAGAGAUAAGUGCUGAAAGCAUCUAAGCACGAAACUUGCCCCGAGAUGAGUUCUCCCUGAGACUU